rnacentral:rRNA from 1 species
UUCCGGUUGAUCCUGCCGGACCUGACUGCUAUCGGAUUGAUACUAAGCCAUGCGAGUCAUUGUAGCAAUACAAGGCAUACGGCUCAGUAACGCGUAGUCAACCUAACCUAUGGACGGGAAUAACCUCGGGAAACUGAGAAUAAUGCCCGAUAGAACAUUAUGCCUGGAAUGGUUUAUGUUCCAAAUGAUUUAUCGCCGUAGGAUGGGACUGCGGCCUAUCAGUUUGUUGGUGAGGUAAUGGCCCACCAAGACUAUUACAGGUACGGGCUCUGAGAGGAGUAGCCCGGAGAUGGGUACUGAGACACGGACCCAGGCCCUAUGGGGCGCAGCAGGCGAGAAAACUUUGCAAUGUGCGAAAGCACGACAAGGUUAAUCCGAGUGGUUUCUGCUAAAGAAACCCUUUGUCAGUCCUAGAAACACUGAUGAAUAAGGGGUGGGCAAGUUCUGGUGUCAGCCCGCCGCGGUAAAACCAGCACCUCAAGUGGUCAGGAUGAUUAUUGGGCCUAAAGCAUCCGUAGCCCGGCUCUGUAAGUUUUCGGUUAAAUCUGUACGCUCAACGUACAGGCUUGCCGGGAA